AGUGCGUACAUUUUCAUAUGGGAAUCGACCCCACAACGCUCUACCAACUGAGCCACACUGAACCUUCCUACUGUAUACUGGUAGGAAUUUGAACCAGUUUGUUACAACAGGAAAAUAAUUGUGCAGCAACAGGAAAUGUGUAUUAUAAUGAAUGGUAAGAGGCUGCGCUCUUUGGUCUUUACUAAAAAUCAUAGUGCAUAAAUAAAACACAAAGACGCAAAAAUUUGUGUUCUCAGGCCGUCCUCAGUGUGGAUGUCAGCGCACACACUCCUGUCUUCUACAGAUCAUUUCAUGUCACAUGGCCAAGAAAGAAAACAUCAAAGCAUAACAGAAGGUACAGUGAUCACCAACCUGUCCUCCAAGCCUUGCUUGUCAAUCACCAAAUAUACUUUAUGGCCAAAAGUAUGUGAACACCUGCUUGUUGAACAACAUCAUUAUAAAAUCAUGGGCUUUAAUAUGGAGUUGGUCCCCUCUUUGCUGCUAUAACAGCCUCCAGUCUUCUGGGAUGGCUUUCUACUAGAUGUUGGAACAUUGCUUCCAUUCAGCCACAAGAACAUUAGUGAUGUCUGGUGCUGAUGUUGGGCGAUUUAGGCCUGGCAUGCAAUCGGCGUUCCAAUUCAUCCCCAAGGUAUUCGAUGGGGUUGAGGUCAGGGCUCUGUGCAGGCCCGUCAAGUUCUUCCAUACAGAUCUCGACAAACCAUUUCUGUAUGGGCCUCGCUUUGUGCUCGGGGGCAUUGGCAUGCUGAAACAGGAAAGGGCCUUCCCCAAGCUGUUGCCACAAAGUUAGAAGCACAAAAUGUCAACACACACACACCUGACUUCUACAGUGUGCUGAAUGUCAUUGUAUGCUGCAGCGUUAAGGUUUCCCUUCCAUGGAACUAAGGGGCCAAACCAUGAAAAACAGCCGCAGACCAUUAUUCCUCCUCCACCAAACUUUACAGUUGGCACUAUGCAGGUAGUGUUCUGGCAUCCGCCAAACCCAGAUUCGUCCGUCGGACUGCCAGAUGGUGAAGCGUGAUUGAUUCUUCACUCCAGAGAACAAGUUUCCACUGCUCCAGAGUCCAAUGGCGGCGAGCUUUACACCACUCCAGCCGAUGUUUGGCAUUGAGCAUGGUGAUCUUAGGCUUGUGUGCGGCUGCUCGGCCAUGGAAACCCAUUUCAUGAAGCUUCCCGAUGAACAGUUCUUAUGCUGAUGUUGCUUCCAGAGGCGGUUUGGAACUCGGUAGUGAGGGUUGUAACCAAGGACAGAGGCGGUUUGGAACUCGGUAGUGAGUGUUGUAACCGAGGACAGAUGCGGUUUGGAACUCGGUAGUGAGGGUUGUAACCGAGGGCAGAGGCGGUUUGGAACUCCGUAGUGAGUGUUGCAACCGAGGACAGAGGCGGUUUGGAACUCGGUAGUGAGUGUUGCAACCGAGGACAGGUUAUUUUUUACACGCUACACACUUCAGCACUCUGCGGUCUCUGUUCUGUGAGCUUGUGUGGCCUACCAUUUUGUUUCUGAACCGUUGUUUCUCCUAGACAUUUCCACUUCACAAUAAUAGCACGUACAGUGGACUGGACAGCUCUAGCAGGGCAGACAUUUGAUGAACUGACUUGUUGGAAGGUGGCAUCGUACAGUAUGAUGGUGCCAUGUUGAAAGUCAGUACAGGCCAUUCUCCUGCCAUUGUUUGUCUAUGGAGAUUGCUUGACUGUGCUCAAUGUUAUACACAUGUCAGCAACGGGUGUGGCUGAAAUGGAUGGAUUAUCCAGAUCCACGGAAGGGGUGUCCACAUACUUUUGUCCACAUACAUAUUGUGUAUUUCUGUAUAAAAUAAAUAAAUGAUAAAGCCUUUCCUUCCUAUUUCGUUUUGUUGUUGCCGGUAGCUGAUUUAGCAGAAGGUAAAGUGUUUCCGUGUUGAACCAUUUCAUGUGUCUGAAGGUAGAGCUCCGCCUACCCAGAGAGCAAAUCAGAGGUCAGAUCACUGUGACAGCAGUUUCCUCGCACCAAUAGAAAGAAGCCUCGAACACACAGCAAAGUUGAUUUUUAUUUUUUUAUAUUUGAUUAGAGAGAGACUCAAUACAUACAGCAAAGAGCUAUUGUUAAAUACAUUUUGAAUGAAGUUGUUUUUCAGCACUUUGUCAACACUUUGUUCAACAAUUUUAUGAGCCAUAAAAUGCUUGUUUCGAUAA